rnacentral:tRNA from 1 species
AAAUAAGAAGUAAAUAUUACAUUUAGUUUCGACCUAAAAUUUGGUGAUAAUAACACCCUUAUUUA